rnacentral:rRNA from 1 species
GACGAACGCUGGCGGCGUGCUUAUCACAUGCAAGUCGAACGGUGAAGUAGAGCUUGCUCUAUGGAUCAGUGGCGAACGGGUGAGUAACACGUGGGCAACCUGCCCCAGACUCUGGGAUAACUCCUCGAAAGAGGGGCUAAUACCGGAUAUUUGCAUUGCAAGACAUCUUGUGAUGCAGAAAGAAUUUCGGUCUGGGAUGGGCCCGCGGCCUAUCAGCUUGUUGGUGAGGUAACGGCUCACCAAGGCGACGACGGGUAGCCGGCCUGAGAGGGCGACCGGCCACACGGGGACUGAGACACGGCCCAGACUCCUACGGGAGGCAGCAGUGGGGAAUAUUGGGCAAUGGGCGCAAGCCUGACCCAGCAACGCCGCGUGAGGGAUGAAGGUCCUCGGAUUGUAAACCUCUUUCAGCAGGGACGAAGCGAAAGUGACGGUACCUGCAGAAGAAGCACCGGCUAACUACGUGCCAGCCGCCGCCGUAA